GGUGAACGCUGGCGGCGUGCUUAAGACAUGCAAGUCGAACGGACAGAGCUUGCUCUGUCAGUGGCGCACGGGUGAGUAACGCGUAACUGACCUACCCCCAAGUCGCGGAUAACGCGCCGAAAGGCACGCUAAUACGUGAUGUGCACGCAGGUUUCUGGCCUGCUGUGUAAAGACUGGAUCGCUUGGGGAUGGGGUUGUGUUCCAUCAGCUAGAUGGUGGGGUAACGGCCCACCAUGGCGACGACGGAUCGCCGGCCUGAGAGGGUGGCCGGCCACAGGGGCACUGAGACACGGGUCCCACUCCUACGGGAGGCAGCAGUUAGGAAUCUUCCACAAUGGGCGCAAGCCUGAUGGAGCGACGCCGCGUGAGGGAUGAAGGUUUUCGGAUCGUAAACCUCUGAAUCUGGGACGAAAGACGCGACGAGCGGGAUGACGGUACCAGAGUAAUAGCACCGGCUAACUCCGUGCCAGCCGCCGCGGUAAAAC
rnacentral:rRNA from 1 species